rnacentral:rRNA from 1 species
AUGGCGACGGCCGUUGGCGUUGGCCGCGGUCGGCUACCAGUACCACCGAUGCCGGCCGUUCCACCCGGCGUCGUCGACCGGCGGCGCAACCACGCGCUGCCCUUGUGCACUCUCACUGCCAGCGUCACCUGCACGGCGGAGCUGAGCCUUCUGGGCAGGUUCCUGUCCGGCAUGCUGCCCGGACAAGGCGAUGGAGACGCCUAUCAGGCUCUGAGGAAAUAUCGAGCCCAUCUGCUCCUGCUCGGGACUCUUGCGGCGAGCGUGCUGUAUCCAACGGCCGGCCUCUGGCGAGGCGAAGCUCAGCACAAGCUGUGUUUCCUGAUCUUGGCCGUCUGCGUCACCACAAUCUUAUUUCUGUUUAGAUUUUUGAAAGAUUUCAUUCGCUCCUGGGCUAGUAAUUAA